rnacentral:rRNA from 1 species
UAAUAACCGGAGGAAGGUGGGGAUGACGUCAAAGUCCUCAUGGCCCUUACAGGGUGGGCUACACACGUGCUACAAUGGCGACUACAGAGGGUUAAUCCUUAAAAGUCGUCUCAGUUCGGAUUGUCCUCUGCAACUCGAGGGCAUGAAGUUGGAGUCGCUAGUAAUCGCAGAUCAGCAACGCUGCGGUGAAUACGUUCCCGGGCCUU